rnacentral:tRNA from 1 species
GGAUUGUGGCUCAGCGGUAGAGCACUGGCCUAGCACGUAUGAGGCCCUGGGUUCAAUCUUCAGCACCA